UGUACCCAGCUCUGCGUGGGUGGAUAUAGUGGCGAACGGGUGAGUAACACGUGAGUAACCUGCCCUUAACUCUGGGAUAAGCCUGGGAAACUGGGUCUAAUACCGGAUAGGAGCGUCCACCGCAUGGUGGGUGUUGGAAAGAUUUAUCGGUUUUGGAUGGACUCGCGGCCUAUCAGCUUGUUGGUGAGGUAAUGGCUCACCAAGGCGACGACGGGUAGCCGGCCUGAGAGGGUGACCGGCCACACUGGGACUGAGACACGGCCCAGACUCCUACGGGAGGCAGCAGUGGGGAAUAUUGCACAAUGGGCGCAAGCCUGAUGCAGCGACGCCGCGUGAGGGAUGACGGCCUUCGGGUUGUAAACCUCUUUCAGUAGGGAAGAAGCGAAAGUGACGGUACCUGCAGGAAAGAAAGGCAGCCCGGCCUAAACUACGUGUCCAAGCAAGCCGCGGUAAUUACGUAGGGGUGCGGAGCGGUUAUCCGGAAUUAUUGGGCGUAAAGAGCUCGUAGGCCGGUUUGUCGCGUCUGUCGUGAAAGUUCCGGGGGCUUAAACCCCGGAUCUGCGGUGGGUACGGGCAGACUAGAGUGCAGUAGGGGAGACUGGAAUUCCUGGUGUAGCGGUGGAAUGCGCAGAUAUCAGGAGGAACACCGAUGGCGAAGGCAGGUCUCUGGGCUGUAACUGACGCUGAGGAGCGAAAGCAUGGGGAGCGAACAGGAUUAGAUACCCUGGUAGUCCAUGCCGUAAACGUUGGGCACUAGGUGUGGGGACCAUUCCACGGUUUCCGCGCCGCAGCUAACGCAUUAAGUGCCCCGCCUGGGGAGUACGGCCGCAAGGCUAAAAACUCAAAGGAAUUGACGGGGGGCCCGCACAAGCGGCGGGAGCAUGCCGGAUUAAAUUCGAUGCAACGCGAAGAACCCUUACCAAGGGCUUGAACAAUGUUCUCGAUCGCCGUAGAGAUACGGGUUUCCCCUUUGGGGCGGGUUCACAGGUGGUGCAUGGUUGUCGUCAGCUCGUGUCGUGAGAUGUUGGGUUAAGUCCCGCAACGAGCGCAACCCUCGUUCCAUGUUGCCAGCACGUCGUGGUGGGGACUCAUGGGAGACUGCCGGGGUCAACUCGGAGGAAGGUGAGGACGACGUCAAAUCAUCAUGCCCCUUAUGUCUUGGGCUUCACGCAUGCUACAAUGGCCGGUACAAUGGGUUGCGAUACUGUGAGGUGGAGCUAAUCCCAAAAAGCCGGUCUCAGUUCGGAUUGGGGUCUGCAACUCGACCCCAUGAAGUCGGAGUCGCUAGUAAUCGCAGAUCAGCAACGCUGCGGUGAAUACGUUCCCGGGCCUUGUACACACCGCCCGUCAAGUCACGAAAGUCGGUUACUA
rnacentral:rRNA from 1 species